GGAGGCAUAGCUCAGCAGGUUAGAGUGCAUGCUUGACGUGCAUGAGGUCACAGGUUCGAUUCCUGUUGCCCCCACCA
rnacentral:tRNA from 1 species